rnacentral:rRNA from 1 species
AGAUUGAACGCUGGCGGCCGGCCUAACACAUGCAAGUCGAACGGCAGCACAGUGGUAGCAAUACCAUGGGUGGCGAGUGGCGGACGGGUGAGGAAUACAUCGGAAUCUACCUUUUCGUGGGGGAUAACGUAGGGAAACUUACGCUAAUACCGCAUACGCCCUUCGGGGGAAAGCCGGGGAUCGCAAGACCUGGCGCGGAUAGAUGAGCCGAUGUCGGAUUAGCUAGUUGGUGAGGUAAUGGCUCACCAAGGCGACGAUCCGUAGCUGGUCUGAGAGGAUGAUCAGCCACACUGGAACUGAGACACGGUCCAGACUCCUACGGAGGCAGCAGUGGGAAUAUAGGACAAGUGGGCGACAAGCCUAGGACUACC